AUAACCGGAGCGAGCUCCGAGGAGCGCCAGCGAGGACGCAUAGCUCCGAUGGGUUGGGCGUGUCGCGAGCCUCACCGUGUGGCCAAGUACAACAUGCUCCAGAGUGGAUGGUCGAUUCCCUCCCCAUCUCGACCGUGACUGGUCUUUCGUCAUUCCGCUUCUGCUCGGUGUGGCUCUGUCCGAUAGCGCUGUCUGCGCCUUGACGCCGCCACCGUAGUCACAGCCCCACGCCUCGCGCCAUGGCCGCUAGAAGCCCAUGCCUUGGCCGCAUUAGGGAAGCAAGCUUGGAUUCACUGGAUGAUGUACACACAGCAAGUGCACCUCGCUUUCAUAAUAGCAAGCAACCCCAUUCUGAGGUACGUUCUCUUCGCGUGCAGCCUUUUUAAGAGUUUGAUUUUUCCAGUUAGUCUCCUCUGAUGGUGAUCCUUGAUAAGUGGUGUUUAUCAAUGUGUUGUCUCAGAAAAUCGCUUUCUCCAGUGGUUGAUAAUUGUAGCUCUAUAUGCUUGUGUUGCAAACAGCAGAAGCAACUGGACGACCAUUUGGUUCAAAAACUCAAACCACAGAACUUAAAAACAUCACCUUCCGCAGCUGGUGUGUAUCGUAGUUGGGUGACACGCAGUGGGCUUCUCCGCAGUGUGAAAAUCUGUCAGAAAGAAUUGGUCAUAGAUAUGAUUAUACUUGUGAUUGCUACAUCAUAAAGAACAGAAAAAAAAUGGACAAACCAGGUGAUAUGUCCACGGGUGUCUUAGAUGGAGUGCACCUUCAAUUUAGAAAGGAGAUGUAGCUUUGUUAUGAUCCCUUGCCUCACGUCUCCUUUUUAAUAUCUCAUCCCUGUUUAGUGUAUAUCUCUCCUCUCCCUUUGUCUCUUCAAUUCUUUUGGAUCUGCUUUUUGACUUGUUUCCAAAAAAGUCUUCAGGAUCUACAAGGUCCAAGUAGGUAAGAGUUGGUGAUAUAAUUAUUUACCAUGGGUAAAUAGCAAAUCAAGUAAAUAAGAAAGUCUUAUACAUCUCAUUUUGGAAAUUUCAAAUGAUCAAGGGGUGAAGUCUACUUUGAUUUUUACCUUGUGCAGACUGAGGUUUGUUGCAGGUCCUUGUAGUCAUGGUUUUCUUUAAAAAAUCAUACAUCAUUAGACCAUGCUGAACUGACGUGUACUCCCUCCGUCCAAAAAUACUUGUCGGAGAAAUUGAUAGAAAUGGAUGUAUCUAGAACUAAAAUAUGAUUAGAUACAUCCAUUUCUCCGACGAGUAUUUCCGGACGGAGGGAGUACAUAUUAUGUUUUCAGAUAACUCAACCUUGUUAUCAUAUUAUGUUUUCAGAUAACUCAAUCUUGUUACCAUGCUGAAUUAUACUGACCAAAGUAUGUACAUACCUUACUCUUUAACUGCGUCUAGAAGUACUCAGAUCCAGUGCUAGGAUAAAAAUGCUUCCUAAUCCACCACCUCAAUCUGAUGAAUUCCUACAUGAAUAACCAAAAUGACUGCCUGGCCAUAUCUAAUGUUGGUAACCAUACUGUAACUUCCAGAAUUUGAUCACAAGAAAACUUCGCCAAACCGACAUCUAGUUAUUUAAAAAAAAAUCACCUUAUUAAGUACAGAAGUGGCACUUGGAUUAAGCAUUUGAAAAACAUUCAUGCAUGGUACCCAAUACCAAUUGGCAGGCCAACAUAUAAGAACAAAUUUUGAUAACUGUAUUGCAGAUAUUUAGAGAAGCAUGUACUGAUUUUUAUUUGCACAAAAUGAUUUGUCGUAGAUUGUCAUAGAGAUUUUGCAUAGUCCUUUCAUUCAGAUGGCCUAAAUCUAACAUAAAAAUGUGGCAAUCCAUUGGCACAAAAUGGACUACAUACAGUACUCUCAAGUCUGCAAUACAAUACCAGUUGGCAGGCCAACAUUCAGAGAAGCAUGUACUGAACUUAGGCUGUAGAAAUUCAGAGAAGCAUGAAUUGGAUUUAGCAAGUAGAAAUUCAGAGAAGCUUGAGUGGAGGAGCCGAGUCUACCUUAUCCUGAAUAUUGUUUACCUUUCCUAUUAUCAGUAGGGGUGUAACUUUUUUCUGUUAGGGGGAAAGAGGUGCUCAGGGUCUUUUAGUCCAGAACUUGUUGACUAUCUACGUGCAUGCUACAAGAGAUAGGCAUCUCCUAAAUUAUGUUUGCUAAUUCUUUCGUUUAGCCAAGCUGGAUGUCAGUCCUCCCUGUUAUGUGCUUAUAUAACAAAACAUAUUAGAGAAUAGAGAUACGUUCAGUGCCAUGCAUUCUGUUUCAUGCAAAGCACAUAAACUUUAUAUUACAGGCCAUUGUAUUUUGUUUACUUGGUAUAUUAAGAAAUAUGAGCACAAAUAUAGUCAUGUUUUUUUACUCUUUGUAUUUAUGAAUUUCGACCCAAAUCUGCCAUGAGGUGAACUUUGACUGAUGUCCACCAUUUUGGUCAAUAUUUAUUUUGUUGUCGCAAGUGUAGAUUCUUCUAAUUAUGGUACUCCUAAUAAUUGAAUAUGUGGGGAGAGUCGGUGUUCCGUGAAACCAGAUUGCUUUGCUUGCUACAGAGUAUGAGCCACCAAGGUUUGUUUCCCGUCAGCUAGCUUCCUACACCCAGCUUGAUGUUAAGGUAAAGAAAAAUCUGAGAUCAAAGUUUCUACCUGAUCAAAGUUUGCUGGCUUGGUGAGGGCCUCGAUAUGGCGACGGUGGCAGCCCGCGCUUGCACCCAUGGGUAGCAGAAGAAGAGCUGACAACUGCGACGUCAAUCCGCGCUCAUCCCCAUGGGGCAGCAGACAACAGAGGAGCGGUGGUUGAUGGCGGCGAUAUGCGCACGCCUCCGUGGGGCAGGAGAGGAGGAGAGACAACGUGUUGUGAAGGCAGAGAGAAAAUUACGGGAUAGAAAUCCCAGAAAUCCCCUAUCCCCACUAAUUGAGGACGAAUGGGCAGUCGGCAGUCUGCUCAGCAGAACAUUUAAUCUGGAACGUUCAUUUGUGUGGCAGACUUUUGAUGUAAUAUGGACUGUUAGAUGUAAUUUAGUUCGACUGAUCUAACACCUCUGGUAAUCCUGUGUACACUUUGUGGUGUGUCUAUAGUGGAUAUCAUAUUUGCUCUUUUAAUAGUAGUAUAGAAGAAGUGGCACUUGGAUUAAGCAUUUGAAAAACAUUCAUGCAUGGUACCCAAUACCAAUUGGCAGGCCAACAUAUAAGAACAAAUUUUGAUAACUGUAUUGCAGAUAUUUAGAGAAGCAUGUACUGAUUUUAUUUGCACAAAAUGAUUUGUCGUAGAUUGUCAUAGAGAUUUUGCAUAGUCCUUUCAUUCAAAUGGCCUAAAUCUAACAUAAAAAUGUGGCAAUCCAUUGGCACAAAAUGGACUACAUACAGUACUCUCAAGUCUGCAAUACAAUACCAGUUAGCAGGCCAACAUUCAGAGAAGCAUGUACUGAACUUUGGUUGUAGAAAUUCAGAGAAGCAUGUAUUGGAUUUAGCAAGUAGAAAUUCAGAGAAGCUUGAGUGGAGGAGCCGAGUCUACCUUAUCCUGAAUAUUGUUUACCUUUCCUAUUAUCAGUAGGGGUGUAACUUUUUUCUGUUAGGGGGAAAGAGGUGCUCAGGGUCUUUUAGUCCAGAACUUGUUGACUAUCAACGUGCAUGCUACAAGAGAUAGGCAUCUCCUAAAUUAUGUUCCGUGAAACCAGAUUGCUUUGCUUGCUACAGAGUAUGAGCCACCAAGGUUUGUUUCCCGUCAGCUAGCUUCCUACACCCAGCUUGAUGUUAAGGUAAAGAAAAAUCUGAGAUCAAAGUUUCUACCUGAUCAAAGUUUGCUGGCUUGGUGAGGGCCUCGAUAUGGCGACGGUGGCAGCCCGCGCUUGC
rnacentral:rRNA from 1 species